rnacentral:tRNA from 1 species
GAGAAAGACAUAAUGGUUAUGGGACUGGCUUGAAACUAGUUUUGGGAAGUUCGAUUCUUUCCUUUCUCG